rnacentral:rRNA from 1 species
GACGAACGCUGGCGGCGUGCCUAAUACAUGCAAGUAGAACGCUGAAGGAGGAGCUUGCUUCUCUGGAUGAGUUGCGAACGGGUGAGUAACGCGUAGGUAACCUGCCUGGUAGCGGGGGAUAACUAUUGGAAACGAUAGCUAAUACCGCAUAAUAGCAGUUGUUGCAUGACAACUGUUUGAAAGGUGCAAAUGCAUCACUACCAGAUGGACCUGCGUUGUAUUAGCUAGUUGGUGGGGUAAAGGCUCACCAAGGCGACGAUACAUAGCCGACCUGAGAGGGUGAUCGGCCACACUGGGACUGGGACACGGCCCAGACUCCUACGGGAGGCAGCAGUAGGGAAUCUUCGGCAAUGGACGGAAGUCUGACCGAGCAACGCCGCGUGAGUGAAGAAGGUUUUCGGAUCGUAAAGCUCUGUUGUAAGAGAAGAACGAGUGUGAGAGUGGAAAGUUCACACUGUGACGGUAUCUUACCAGAAAGGGACGGCUAACUACGUG